rnacentral:rRNA from 1 species
CCUACGGGAGGCAGCAGUGGGGAAUUUUGGACAAUGGGCGAAAGCCUGAUCCAGCCAUUCCGCGUGCAGGAUGAAGGCCCUCGGGUUGUAAACUGCUUUUGUACAGAACGAAAAGGUUUCUAUUAAUACUAGGAGCUCAUGACGGUACUGUAAGAAUAAGCACCGGCUAACUACGUGCCAGCAGCCGCGGUAAUACGUAGGGUGCAAGCGUUAAUCGGAAUUACUGGGCGUAAAGCGUGCGCAGGCGGUUAUAUAAGUCAGAUGUGAAAUCCCCGGGCUCAACCUGGGAACUGCAUUUGAGACUGUAUAGCUAGAGUACGGUAGAGGGGGAUGGAAUUCCGCGUGUAGCAGUGAAAUGCGUAGAUAUGCGGAGGAACACCGAUGGCGAAGGCAAUCCCCUGGACCUGUACUGACGCUCAUGCACGAAAGCGUGGGGAGCAAACAGGAUUAGAUACCCUGGUAGUCCACGCCCUAAACGAUGUCAACUGGUUGUUGGGUCUUAACUGACUCAGUAACGAAGCUAACGCGUGAAAGUUGACCGCCUGGGGAGUAACGGCCGCAAGGUUGAAACUUCAAAGGAAUUGACGGNNGAGAGNGCGAGACGACACGAGGAGGAG